rnacentral:ncRNA from 1 species
GCUUUUUUCGCCCAGGCGGAGACGGGCCGCCCACCGAAAUAAUGGUCGAUUUCAUUGAUGUUAACAAGCAAGAAUAUGGGAUCGAGCCAAUCUGUAGAGUACUACCGAUUGCCCC